UUUCCGGUUGAUCCCGCCGGACCUGACUGCUAUCGGAUUGAUACUAAGCCAUGCGAGUCAUUGUAGUAAUACAAGGCAGACGGCUCAGUAACGCGUAGUCAACCUAACCUAUGGACGGGAAUAACCUCGGGAAACUGAGUAUAAUGCCCGAUAGAACAUUAUGCCUGGAAUGGUUUAUGUUCCAAAUGAUUUAUCGCCGUAGGAUGGGACUGCGGCCUAUCAGUUUGUUGGUGAGGUAAUGGCCCACCAAGACUAUUACAGGUACGGGCUCUGAGAGGAGUAGCCCGGAGAUGGGUACUGAGACACGGACCCAGGCCCUAUGGGGCGCAGCAGGCGAGAAAACUUUGCAAUGUGCGAAAGCACGACAAGGUUAAUCCGAGUGGUUUCUGCUAAAGGAACCUUUUGUUAGUCCUAGAAACACUAACGAAUAAGGGGUGGGCAAGUUCUGGUGUCAGCCGCCGCGGUAAAACCAGCACCUCAAGUGGUCAGGAUGAUUAUUGGGCCUAAAGCAUCCGUAGCCGGCUCUAUAAGUUUUCGGUUAAAUCUGUACGCUCAACGUACAGGCUGCCGGGAAUACUGCAGAGCUAGGGAGUGGGAGAGGUAGACGGUACUCGGGAGGAAGGGGUAAAAUCCUUUGAUCUCUCGAUGACCACCUGUGGCGAAGGCGGUCUACCAGAACACGUCCGACGGUGAGGGAUGAAAGCUGGGGGAGCAAACCGGAUUAGAUACCCGGGUAGUCCCAGCUGUAAACUAUGCAAACUCAGUGAUGCAUUGACUUGUGGUCAAUGCAGUGCUGCAGGGAAGCCGUUAAGUUUGCCGCCUGGGAAGUACGUACGCAAGUAUGAAACUUAAAGGAAUUGGCGGGGGAGCACCACAAGGGGUGAAGCCUGCGGUUCAAUUGG
rnacentral:rRNA from 1 species